CCCUAGAAGAACACUAGGUAGAUAGGUUAGAGGUGUAAGCGUGGUAACAUGUUUAGCUGACUAAUACUAAUAGGUCGAGGGCUUGACCAAAA
rnacentral:rRNA from 1 species